UGGGGAAUAUUGGGCAAUGGGCGAAAGCCUGACCCAGCCACGCCGCGUGAGUGAUGAAGGCCUUCGGGUCGUAAAGCUCUGUGGGGAGGGACGAAUAAGUGCCGUACUAACACUACGGCGCCCUGACGGUACCUCCUUAGCAAGCACCGGCUAACCAUGUGCCAGCAGCCGCGGUAAUACAUGGGGUGCAAACGUUGCUCGGAAUUAUUGGGCGUAAAGCGCGCGUAGGCGGUUACUUAAGUCGGACGUGAAAGCCCUCGGCUUAACUGAGGAAGUGCACCCGAAACUGAGUAGCUAGAGUACGAAAGAGGGUCGCGGAAUUCCCGGUGUAGAGGUGAAAUUCGUAGAUAUCGGGAGGAACACCGGUGGCGAAGGCGGCGACCUGGGUCGAGACUGACGCUGAGGCGCGAAAGCGUGGGGAGCAAACAGGAUUAGAUACCCUGGUAGUCCACGCCGUAAACGAUGGGUGCUAGAUGUUUCUGGUAUUGACCCCGGAGGCGUCGUAGCUAACGCGUUAAGCACCCCGCCUGGGGAGUACGGCCGCAAGGCUAA
rnacentral:rRNA from 1 species